UUCUCUUUCCGAGUUUCAUGGUAAAAGCUCAUGAAUCAGAUUAGAAGGAUUAUUUCUGUUACAUAUACCGUUUUUGUUACAUAUACCCUUUUUGUUACAUAUACCCUUUUUGCAGGGAAAUUUCUUUCUGAGAAUUCAGGGCUCACCAUGGAAGGAGCCAAAGGUUCUCACUCAAAUGUUUAUCAUUAAAAAAAGAGAAAUUACUUAUAAUGACUCAGAUUAUACUUGAAAUGACUAGAAUAACUCAUCAACUUUUGCAAUUACUAGACUAACUCAUAUGACUAAUGAAAGUACUAAAAACCCAUCCUUCCUUUUCAUAUUCACUUUUUUUUUUGGUUUUUUUUUUUGAAAUUUCUUUUCAUAUUAGAUAAUUAUUUUAUUUUCCCCUAAAAAGAAUCCUCAAUCUCUCGUUAUCCUCUCCGACGAAAGAAACGUCGAAGACGAAGGAGGGUUCUCUUCACUUCCGUCUCCGGUGAACUCUCCUCUGGGACAGGCUCCUUCCGUUUCGUCAUCUCCACCUCAACUCGCUGUCGUCUGUCAUACAAAAAGAACCCUAAAUCCGAUUUUACUUUUUUGUCAAAAUCCACCUUUCAAUCUAAGAAAAUUGAACCUGGAUGUUUCAGACAGAACAUAAUUGGCGUUACUAUCUAUGCUUCCUUAGGAGAGGAUGCUUUGAUUUACUCACUCAAUGUGGUUGGUGUGUAAGUUUGUUUUUGUUACGUGAAUUACAGGGAUGUUUCAGACAAACCAAUGCCUCGAGGGGAGAUUGUGGUAGGUGAUAACUGUGUAACAGCAGGUUACUUCAACAAUCAAUCAAAAACCGAUGAGGUUUACAAGGAAGUUAAGCAGAUGCAGCUUUGUUUCAAGUAAUUACGUUGACAACAUUAUGGUACACACAGACCCAAUGAACAGCUACUGUGUAACUCUUGUUGUAGCAUCAUACGGAGCAUUAAAGAAAUGGGGCAGAGCAAGCAGGAGUUAAAUACAGCGACUUCUCUGAGCUAUGCGAGAACGGUGAUGCAGUAAACGAGGUUCAACAAUCUCUUACCAAGGCGGCAAAGCUAGAAAAAUUUCAUGUACUUAGGGUUUUGACUUUACUUUUACUAAUAAAGUUUGAUCAUGAUGGGGUUGUUUUCUCCCCUUUUAAUACACUAAUUUUCAUUCCAACUUUUAUAUAACGGAGCAAUUUAAGAGAGUAAAAUCAGUGUGGGUACUCAAUAAAGAUAUGCAAGGACAUGAUGAAGUAGUCACCAUCAAUCGAAUUGUGAUAGUGAGCAUUGACAUUUGCUAUUUGGGUCAGAUGGUGCAGAAUCAUCAAUCACAUAAUCCUACAAAGAAUUAUACCCAUUCAUGCGACUGCAACAAGAGUUAGUGCAGUAGUUACUUUUAAUAUCUGGACAUUCAAAGGUCAUUGUCCAAGUUCAGCCACCUCAAAAGGACAGGCGAGUUUUACUGUAGAAUGAACGAAAGGGAUCAAAAAAUUAGCCUAUAUAAUGUAUACCGAGACUUCAACUCUCUAUAACUCUGCAACAACGGAAGCCAUUUGGUACAAAGGAAGCCAACUUGAUAAUAAAAGAAAAGAGGGAUGAAAGAGAUGACGACAAUAACAAAAAAAAUUAGACAUAAUUCUGAUCUGAAUAACACUAAAAAUAAACCAGAUUCGAAAUUAAGAUAAACCGGAUAUAAUUUAUUAAAUUAUGUUUGGUUUAUACAAACCAAGAUUUCUGUCAAAAAGUCUGCCACCACGUAAAAUAAAAAGUCUACCAACCAUUUUAAGUCGGAUAUAUAAAUCUGUCAUAAAAAAACAAGUCGUACAUAAGAAAAUAAGUCGGUAUAUACGAAAAUAAGUUGACCACAAAAAUCGAUCAUUUGUAACAAAUCUGCCACUUCAUUCGCCAGACAUAUUCUUAAAAAUCUGUUUUCUAUCCAAAUCGUACAAUUAACUCUAUCGUGGUAAUAAAUCUGACGUUUCUAAGUAAGUCUGACACCACUUUAACGAUAGAUUUAUUUUUCUAAACAGAUUUUAUAAACAGAUUUAUUACUCGAUAGAUUUAUUUUUUUGAAAAUAAAUCUGCCGACGACCAAAUGGUAAGGGUACUUUGGUAAUAUUUUAUUUUUGUUAUAACUAUGGAUAAGGGCAAUUUCGACCAGAAAAAUAUUCUAAUAAUUUUUGAAAAAUAUGAGUCAUUCUAGUAAUAACACAAUUAAUUUGAGUCAUUUAAGUAACAGCAUAUAGAUCUUGAUGAAGAUAAGCUUGUGAUCUCUGGGGUAGUAGUCACCUCUAGGCGGUAGUUAAAUGCUUUAUAGAAGAUUAUUGUUUAGGUGGACACUUAGACCGAUUCUUUGAACGCUUAGGCCGAUUUUAAAAAAAAUUGUUCUGAAAAAAUAGUUUUGUUUAGUCCUAGACCGAUAUUUAGAACACUGAUAGUGACAAACUUCAUCAUCCCAUGGGUCUAGUAACGGAGCUGAAGUAAACGUAGUAACUGAUAAUGCGAAGUUAACGUCGAAUUCUGAGAAUACUCGUUAUUUUAGCCUUUUUAACAUCUGUUGAAUUCUCAAUGAAUGCCCAGAAAUAAAAGGAAUCAAGAAUUGUUUAACACAAAGCUCUUUUAUAAAUCAAUAAUUAAAAGUUGUGACUUUUACAAAUCAAGAGCUCAUUAUUUAUAUCUAUAAGAAAAAAACCUAAGUCCUUAAGGAUUAGUAUCUAACUUUUUAUCCUAAUUAAAGUCUUUAAUCAUUCUCUUUCUAAAUAGUAAAAAUACUAAUGUUUAUCUAGAACAAGAAUAAAAGGAAACUAUAAAACCAAAAGCUCAAUAGAAAUAAGAUGCUACGCUGCAUAAGGUCAUCCGGGGUUGAAAAAAUUCGUCCUCGAAUCGUAAAGCCCACCAUUCGCAACCAACAGAACAUGGCACAUUAUUGUGAACACGCCAGAGCAAAGAAACUCAGCAUGAACUAAAAACUGGUGACAUGCAUUAGCAUCCAACUUCUCAAAUACUUGUAGUGGUCCUAUCGUGGAAACUAUAAGCGUGUGAUAUGCAUGAUGAGAAAAAUGAUUCUUGGCUAUCCUUGUAGAAAGCAAGUCAUCCAUUUUGAAUUGAAUUUUAUAGUGAAGCCGGUGUGCUGUUAGUGUGACUUAGGGAACGAAAUGCAUAGAUUUUCCUGAACCUACAUCGUAAGAAAGAUUGUGAACCCACAAAUUCAAUUCUUUUCCCAUGAUGAUGCGUACACGUUGGUGCCUCUCCUUGCUCAACUUGACCUCGCAGAAGUAAACCCGAUACGAUCCACAAAGGAAAUAAACACAUGCUUCUGUUAACCAUGAUCAAUAUAUUAAUCAUUCUGGACCUGAAAUUAGCAUCCUUAUGCCACAACCAUGACGUCACUGUAAGAGAGCGCUCCAAAUUGUGCUUUAUAAAUGACACAAUAGAACCCAAGGUGGAAUAUAGUGGUAGAGAAGAACAUCCAUGGCACUAUUUGUAACGUCGGAGGAAGGGACAAAAUCUGUUUGUGAACCCAUAGUGGAGAAGUAAAGAUAGACUCCGCAAUUUGAAAUACAUCAUACACCAUGAAACAGCUCACUGGAGACCCUUGAGAUGGAGGACACGUAAGGAUAGACACCUUACUUCGCAGUUCGAAAAGAAACACGCACCUCGUUACGUCGGCAAAGAGAAUCUCAUGAGCGUUCUUGUUAGGUAAUCGGUGUUGUGUUGUCUUGAAAAUAUUUAUCAAAACACCACAAACGAGCUGAUGAUUCAGUACUGAUCUUGUUAUAACCCGUACAACCAGGGAUAACUUAGUGGUUGACGACGGAAACACAGAAAAUAUGAGAAAUUUUAUAGCUGCUACACAAACAUGUUCAAAAUCUGAGUUAGAAUCUCCGAACAAGUUGCUUGAUUCACAAGCAAAGCCUCUCCAACCAAUAAUUGCCACUAAUAAGCAGCCUGAACCAACUUGUGGACGAUGCACAACCUCGAAUUUUCUCUUAGAUACUCCAUACUGUAGCUCAAUUUGUAACCACUGAGAAGAAAAGACUACCAACGGUACAGUUAUGUCCGUGUGAGAAAGAGGCCACACAACUGAAGACCGUAAUAUGUCGUACAUGGAGGCAACAUUCAUGUGGAUACACAGAGGCCAUAAUGCAGUUGAACAU